AUGAGGGUCUCUGGUCGGCGGGCGGCCGUGGUCGCCGGCAUGGACCUCCACGUCCUCCUCCCGACCGCCGGAUCGCCUCUCGCCCACCACCCGGCGAACCCCCUUUCUCUCCACCGCCAAGUCUACCAACCCUUUCCCCGCCUCGCAACCAAGUCUCGCAGGGCCGUCUCUUUAAAAUGGAGAAGCCUGGGGUUGGGGUAUGUAACAAAGGCACAGACUGUGGACUACUAUGCUCACACCCUAACCAAGGUUUUGGGGAAUGACAAGGAUGCACAGGUAUGCAUACAUUAUCUCUCUUGGGCAAAGUAUUUUGGAUUUUGUUGCCAAAUCGGUGAGCAAUAUGCCCGGUUACUAGCUGGGAUUUUGUUUGUGCAGCCUGAUAUGAAUUUUGGGUCAUAUAACAAAGAUCACAAAGGACUUCAGUUCUAUGCUUCUGAGAAAACCUUGCAUGCAGCAUUUGAAAGCUUUGGUGAGCUUAUUGAAGUUAAAAUAAUUGUAACGGACAAGAUAUCAAAAAGGCCCAAAGGCCAUGCCUCUAUAGAAUUCAUUACAGAGGAAGCUACAAGUACUGCUCUAAAAGAGAUGAAUGGGAAGGUUUUUAACGAUCCAAACCCCUGUUACAUUAAUUACAAACAUGUCUUGAACAUUAUGAUCCAUCGAGUUUUGAUGUUUGCAAAUCAUCAAUGGCUGGAUAAUAGUUUUCGAUGUCACCAGAGCUGACCCACCAAAAUACAGCAGGGCCCACGCACGGCCACCAGGUUCAUCAGCUUUGUCAUAUUAAAUGAUACUUGUACAGCUUGACAGCGAGGGAUCUAAGAAAGGCAUGGAUGAAUGUUUGGUUGCCUGGUCCGAAAAUGUAAUUUUGUGAGCUGCCUCCAUGAUGGAGCUGAGUGUUGGUUCCCCUUUGUAUUGAUCGAUUCUGCAAUAGUUGUAAACAUUACUCUUGCACGACAAUCCUCACUUUUUAGCCACCUAUUAGCGGCCCUUGUUUUGUAUUGUGCUUUCUCUGGCGUCCAUUGAUGGCUGAUACCAUGUGUUUGGUUUGGAUUUGCUGGGAAGAAUAUCUUGUUAAAU